rnacentral:hammerhead_ribozyme from 1 species
AUCCAUCUGAGGAGUUCCAAAUAGGACGAAACGUGAGUCAUGGAU